rnacentral:rRNA from 1 species
GAUGAACGCUGGCGGCGUGCCUAAUACAUGCAAGUCGAGCGAACAGACGAGGAGCUUGCUCCUCUGACGUAGCGGCGGACGGGUGAGUAACACGUGGAUAACCUACCUAUAAGACUGGGAUAACUUCGGGAAACCGGAGCUAAUACCGGAUAAUAUAUUGAACCGCAUGGUUCAAUAGUGAAAGACGGUUUUGCUGUCACUUACAGAUGGAUCCGCGCCGCAUUAGCUAGUUGGUAAGGUAACGGCUUACCAAGGCAACGAUGCGUAGCCGACCUGAGAGGGUGAUCGGCCACACUGGAACUGAGACACGGUCCAGACUCCUACGGGAGGCAGCAGUAGGGAAUCUUCCGCAAUGGGCGAAAGCCUGACGGAGCAACGCCGCGUGAGUGAUGAAGUUCUUCGGAUCGUAAAACUCUGUUAUUAGGGAAGAACAAAUGUGUAAGUAACUAUGCACGUCUUGACGGUACCUAAUCAGAAAGCCACGGCUAACUACGUG